rnacentral:rRNA from 1 species
AGAGUUUGAUCAUGGCUCAGAAUGAACGCUGGCGGCGUGCUUAACACAUGCAAGUCGAGCGAAAAAGCUUCUUCGGAAGUAAGUAAAGCGGCGGACGAGUGAGUAAUACGCGAGAACCUACCCUUUUGUGAAGGAUACCCUCGAGAAAUUGGGGUUAAUACUGCAUAAGUCCCUACGGGGAGAAAGGCAACUUCAUGUUGCCGCUGAAGGAUGGGCUUGCGGGCUAUCAGCUAGUUGGUGAGGUAAUGGCUCACCAAGGCUAUGACGGCUAACCGGCCUGAGAGGGUGUACGGUCACGUUGGAACUGAGAUACGGUCCAAACUCCCACGGGAGGCAGCAGUGAGGAAUAUUGCACAAUGGGCGAAAGCCUGAUGCAGCGACGCCGCGUGGAGGAUGAAGGUCUUCGGAUUGUAAACUCCUGUCAAAUGGGAAGAAAGACUCAUGUAUAAGAUAUGUGGGGGAUGACGGUACCAUUAAAGGAAGCACCGGCUAACUUCGUGCCAGCAGCCGCGGUAAUACGAGGGGUGCAAGCGUUAUUCGGAAUUACUGGGCGUAAAGGGUGUGUAGGUGGUGUAUUAAGUCUGUUGUUAAAUCUCCCGGCUUAACCGGGAAAUCGCAAUGGAAACUAGUAUGCUAGAGGGUGAGAGAGAGGAGUGGAAUUCUCGGAGUAGCGGUAAAAUGCGUAGAUAUCGAGAGGAACACCGAUGGCGAAAGCAGCUACUUGGCUCACUACUGACACUGAAACACGAAAGCGUGGGGAGCAAACAGGAUUAGAUACCCUGGUAGUCCACGCUGUAAACGAUGAUCACUAGACGUCAGUUCGGCUUUGCUGAAUUGGUGUCGUAGCUAACGCGUUAAGUGAUCCGCCUGGGGAGUACGGUCGCAAGACUAAAACUUAAAGGAAUUGACGGGGGUCCGCACAAGCGGUGGAACAUGUGGUUUAAUUCGACACUACGCGAGGAACCUUACCUGGACUUGACAUGUUUUUGACAGCCGUAGAAAUUCGGUCUUCUAGGCUUCGGUUUAGACAAUUUCACAGGUGCUGCAUGGCUGUCGUCAGCUCGUGUCGUGAGACGUUAGGUUAAGUCCUCUAACGAGCGCAACCCUUGCCGCCAGUUGCUACUGUCUUCGGACAGGCACUCUGGUGGGACUGCCUGGGAAACCAGGAGGAAGGUGGGGACGACGUCAAGUCAUCAUGGUCCUUAUGUCCAGGGCUACACACGUGUUACAAUGGCCAGUACAAAGGGUUGCAAUACCGUAAGGUGGAGCUAAUCCCAUAAAGCUGGUCUAAGUUCGGAUUGAGGUCUGCAACUCGACCUCAUGAAGUUGAAAUCGCUAGUAAUCGCGUAUCAGCAACGACGCGGUGAAUACGUUCUCGGACCUUGUACACACCGCCCGUCACACCAUGAAAGCUGUUUGUACCCGAUGCUGUUUUAGCUAACCUGUAAAGGAGGCGAGCAAUUAAGGUAUGGAUGGUGAUUGGGGUGAAGUCGUAACAAGGUA